GACGAACGCUGGCGGCGUGCUUAACACAUGCAAGUCGAGCGGUAAGGCCCCUCCGGGGGCACACGAGCGGCGAACGGGUGAGUAACACGUGAGCAACCUGCCCCUGACCCCGGGAUAAGCGGUGGAAACGCCGUCUAAUACCGGAUACGACCCUCCGGCUCAUGCCGUGGGGGUGGAAAGUUUUUUCGGUUGGGGAUGGGCUCGCGGCCUAUCAGCUUGUUGGUGGGGUAAAGGCCUACCAAGGCGAUUACGGGUAGCCGGCCUGAGAGGGCGACCGGCCACACUGGAACUGAGACACGGCCCAGACUCCUGCGGGAGGCAGCAGUGGGGAAUCUUGCGCAAUGGGCGAAAGCCUGACGCAGCGACGCCGCGUGGGGGAUGACGGCCUUCGGGUUGUAAACUCCUUUUACCACUCACGCAGGCCCGGAGUGUUCUUCGGGUUGACGGUAGGUGGGGAAUAAGGACCGGCUAACUACGUGCCAGCAGCCGCGGUAA
rnacentral:rRNA from 1 species